rnacentral:RNase_P_RNA from 1 species
ACGCGCGGGUGACCGAUCGCUAUUCCGCAAGGGAUAGAGGAAAGUCCGGACUCCGCAGGGCGGAGGAUCCGCUUGUCAAGGGCGGAAGCCAGGAGGCGAUCUUCUGGAAUGGAAAGUGCCACAGAAAAGAGACGUGCCUCGUGCCUGGUGCUUUGUGCCUGGUGCGAGGUAAACGGUGAAAGGGCGGUGUAAGAGACCACCGGUGGGGCGUGAGAGCGUUCCGCGCAGGGCAAACCCUCCUCGGAGCAAGAUCAAAUAGGGAACCGACCGGCUGCCCGUCGGGUAUCCGCCGCGAGGCGGACUUGAGGUUCCGGGUUGAUUGCGUCAGAUGAAUGAUCGGAGUCCUCCUUCGCCUUCGGGCUAUGGAGGAUGAACAGAAUCUGGCUUAUUCGCCGCGCGUCGCU